AAGUUCCGGAAGUCAGUCAGGCCUCGAAAGUCAAGUUCCGGAAACUGGCCUUGCAAUCAUUAGACAGCAGCAGCCUCCCUCAUGAUGCGGAAGGCAACGUGGGAGGGAAACCCUCCGGGGCCUGAUUCAGCUUGGCAAGCGUGAGAGGACACCCGAUGAACUUCUCGGAGAAUUCCCUGGAGUGAGACUCAGGACAAUAUUAAAUCCAAUGAAUCACGCAGCCUUCAGGAGGGCAGGGCAGCAUACGGCAGAGCAGCACUGAAUGAUGGCUUGGCUUGGUGUCCCUGGUGGCAGCAGUGGCCACACAGGCACCAUGUUCUCAUUCAACAAAGACUCAGCCCUCAGUUCUGCAAGAAGCCUCGUGAAUGCUUCCAUCAGUGCAUCAUGCAAGGCAUCUGACAAGCAGUUGCCUCAUGGCCCUAGGGAUUCUGCUCUGCCCCUUACCACCUAUUGGCUUGCUUGUGUGAAAGCCCUGAAGGCCAUGCUCCCAAAAGUGGGCCUUGAAGACUGGGCUGGCCAAGGGUCCUGGUGCUGCAGAUCCUUUCUAGAGGAGUCAGCUCCAUCUACCUCCUUCGGAGUGGUAAGUUGCUCAUAGGACUUACGAUCGUGUUCAUAGGAUGUAGUUAGAAUGUCUAGUAUGUGUGCCCAAAUGGAUGAGGACCCUAGAGGGAGGAACCGAAGCUUUAAGGCCUUGAUGCUCCCAGGAUAGUUCAAAGAUAGGCAAGGCCAGCGGCAUUGUCAGGGAUCUAUUAGAAUUGUACAAUCUCUGACCUCACCCAGACCUGAGUCGGAAUCUGCAUUUUACUAGGAGAUUUCUGAGAAUUGUUGCCUUUUGAAACUCAUCUAAAGUUGGGCAGAGUCAACAUUCCUGCCCUAAUUUGUGGUGUGUGGCUGCAGUGAGGGACAUCCUUGCCUUGGUUUGCUGACUUGCUGUGGAGGGGAUAUGGCCUGCACAGCCCCUUUCUCAAUUUCCUUUUCUCCAGACACUCACAGCUGUGACUCAUUUGUGUGUCAGGUGUUUGAGUGAUGACUCAAUACUAGAAACCCCAUCAUGAAGUGUGUCCUUGUGGGCUGAUGAUGCCACAUGCUGAUGGGACCGAUUCAUCGGUGACGUGGGGCAGUUAAUCCCACUCUCAGCCGUUUGUGGGAAGCUCCCAAGCUGGCUUCACAGAGCUUUGUGUUGACAGAGCCGCUCCUCUCCUCUCCACGUGCCUGUUGGGAAGUGCAGGGAGCGCAGAUGCAGCCUGGGCGUGUCCUCUGGGUAGGACUAGAUCCUUCAUGGGAGGACUGAGGAAUGUGAACCUGAGGCCCGGAUUGUCGUUGGUGCCGCUGCUCCUGGGUGCUUUCAUGGCAUUGGAGGCCAGUGUACACAGGAUUCAUCUCCUAGUCUGGCAGUGAAGGAGCCUGCCGUGUUUUGAUUUGAUGUCCUUGCCACCUAUGCACAUGUGAAGAGAAGAACACUACAGUGACAAAUGAACUGAAAAAUGGCUCCCAAGAACUUAAUUCAAAGAAUGGGAACAGGUCCCUUUCCAUAAGCUGAUUUCCUUGUGAACACCAUCCAUUCAUUUCAACCUCACUGGCUACACCUGUGAUUCAGGCAAUGGAAUCUGAUCAUGACUGUAGGAGAUGAAAGACAAAGAUAAGACUGUUCCAUCGGUGACAAGAGCUCUCUCUUGUGUGUGUGUGUGUGUGUGUGUGAGAGAGAGAGAGAGAGAGAGAGAAUAACCUCUGUGACACACAGAUGGAGGCUGUGGAACAAGAGUUACACCUCUGUCAUCCCUCCACUUUGUUCCAGGGAGCCCAGCCAUCUGCACUCAGGCCCUCAGGUGGAUUUGCCCUUCGGUCACCGGGUUGCACUGUGAGUUCUGAAUCCCUGACUCCCCGGCCGGACUCUUCAGUGCACAGCUGCCACAGGCAACCUGGACAAAUCCAGCCAGGCGGGCAGCGCAGGGCUCACCUCGUCAAGGACUUUGCAGCCACCUUAACUUUGAGUCUCCUUGCUUCUGUCAGGAGGUGCCACAACCUUAGACGUAGCUCUUGUUGGUGUUAAUUAUUUCCUUUUCAUUUCCAGCUGGCACAGAGCUUUAGCACCUUAAGUUGCUCAAUUUGAUCUCUGCACUCAGGAACAAGGUAAUUAAGUCAGCCACAAUAUAAGAAAACUCAUCUGCCUCGACUUGUUGCCCGUCUUCAGACAGUGCUCCAUCCUAAAUCAUUUGAUAAUGUAAGAGGCUUGGUGCAGUUUUCUACUUGACUGAGGGUUAGUUCAUUAGGUCACAAUCAGUAAUUGAUUCUCAGUGUGUCUCUGCUGGUUUUAUUACAGUAAUGAGGACUGUCGUUUUUUUUCAUCUUCUCUAAUCUGUUACCCAAACCAUCAGCUUCUCAGUUUGGUGUCAGGAUGACUUUGACAGGUUGUUAGCAGCCAUGUGAUGUACGGAACAUCACAGAAAUGUCUCAAACUGUGUUGCUGUGUACCACACAGAGCCUCAGGUGGUCCCGAAAUCAGUGAAAGCACUUGCAAGGGAAAAGUUACAGCAGCAAUUGAAAAUAUGACUACAGGCUUGAUGUCCUAAUGAAGAAGUUCUUUGCACUGUCGGAUCUGUUUUGACUCUCAGGGCAGACUUUUCAGGGCUGGGUGGCAUCUGCAGCUCUCCUCUGGAAUAUCCCUGAGCAGAAAAAGGAAGAGUACAGCUCAAGAGCAAAGCAGGCAUUUCAUUGCAAGAAGUUGCAUGUUCUUCAUGAUCUCUGUGGAGCUCCUUUAAAAGAGUGAGCAACAAUCUGUCAUCUCUAUGCAAUCUGAUUUCCUCUUAAUUUCUGUUUAUCUUGAGAAGGGGAAAUCCAUAGUAUGAAGGCCAGGAGAGAGAAACGUGGUGUCAUUUAUUGUUCUUCUGCUGUGUUCUGGAUGACUUCAAAUGUAGACAGCCACAAGAGACAAAGAGGGGAAAGGCAUUUUCUUUUUUGUAUGGAUACAAUAAAAAUAUUAUAAUAAAAUUGACCUUUUGUUUUUAUCUAAUGAAUACACUUUAAAAUUUAAAUCUUUUCCAAGACUUUGGAGUGUUUUGAGGCCGAGGAUUAUACUCACCAGAGCUAGUACUGUCUAAUGGUAACAGGAAUUUUUUUUUUUAUUGGAUUUUAGGUUUUGGGGUACAUGAGCAGAGCAUGCAAGACAGUUGCGUAGGUAUACACAUGGCAGUGUGCUUUGCUUUUCUUCUCCCCUUCACCCACAUUUGGCAUUUCUCCCCAGGCUAUCCCUCCCCACCUCCCCCUCCCACUGGCCCUCCCCCUUUCCCCCCAAUAGACCCCAGUGUUUAGUACUCCCCUUUCUGUGUCCAUGUGUUCUCAUUUUUCAUCACCCACCUAUGAGUGAGAAUAUGCGGUGUUUCAUUUUCUGUUCUUGUGUCAGUUUGCUGAGGAUGAUGGGUAACAGGAAUUUUAAGUUCAGAAUAGCCAGGAAUCCUGGAAUGACUCUCUAAGAACAGGACACAAAAGGCCACAAAGACAGUAAUGUAGCACUGGCUUCUCAAAGCCCUUACUAGCCUUGUAUAAAGGAUGAUAGAUAUAAGUUGAGUAUGUGUGAACUGUGAAAUAAACUAUAUUUGUGAACCUUUUCACAAAGAAGCAGCACUGAAAUAGUAGACCAGUCGUAAUGUUCCACUAAAAACCAGAAGUCAUGAGACCACUGGGCAAAGAACAAAGAGGCCAAGGGUUUGUUCUGACAGCCUCAGGAAUGUUUUUUGUUACCUGGUGGACAUGGCUAAACGUUUUGCUGUCUAACAUACAAACGAUGAUCCCUGGAAGAUGAGAGCCUGAGAUGUGUCCAAAGUUAGAUUCACAUGGGUUAAGAAAAACAUUUCUCCUACCCUGAGAUUGCAGAAGAGGGACAGAGGCCUGGAGACAGCUCGGGGUGGCUUUGCCUCGGUGACAUUGUGGGUAACAUCGUUAGCCAGCUCCAGGAUGCUGGCAUAGCAUCCAGAACUGCCAAUUUAGCCUAUGUUUGCAGCCUGAGAUUAUGAAAAGCUCUUAUCAACACUAAAAGUAAUAUUUAGCAAGCCUCAUCGAUCCUUCUUUAAAUAAAGCACGUAUUUUAGGUGAGGCUAGCAAUUUUGCCAUAGGAUUAAUUUCAUCCAACAAACUGCUGUGCAAUGUCUGACAAAAGAUCUUUUUAUAAAUUCAACAUUGGAAAAUAAGUCAUAAUCCCAUUGGCUUCCUUCAUUUCUCUCUACUCUAUAGAAGGCAUGCAGCAAC
ensembl:lncRNA